GGAUUGGGAGCAGCAAGCAGGGCUUGUAGGCAGUUAGCACCACCAGUUUAUUGCAUCACUUUCUUGGGUUAAGUAAGAAGUACACCUUGACUAUGGAGCCUUUUUGGAUUGAUCAGAAAUAUUUUGAAUUUGUUGACUUCAUGGGGUUAAAGCGCUCAUGUUAGUAUUUACUUCUCACUUUCUUGAUUAUCAAUCCAUAGACCAUUUAAACAUUUUAGAAUAUAAAUUUACAUCAGUUCAGUGCCACAUGUAAACAAUACUCUAUUUGGACUUCAAAGUAUGGAAAAAGACACCAGGGGUGUAAGUCAUAAUCAGAAUUAGGGAUGGGAGAUAAACUUGAUUCAAUUAAUAUUUAAAGGCAAACCAGUUUAGUAAUUUGCACUCUACAAACCCAAACACACCUCCUUUAAAAUUUGUAUUUCUCCAGAUUUUGCAAUGCAGUACAAAGUAGGUUUUAUUUAUGGUAUCCAAAUUGUGUUGAAAUAAAUAAAAUUUGCCCAAACAGAACAGAGAAAUCUUAUGCCUCCUAUUUGCUGUUCAAUUAGGACCAUGGAUGCUUUUAAAUCCUGUACUUCUAGCCAAUGUAUGAAAGUGAACCAAAUUGUUUCCUAGUUUUUUCAUUUGGAUGAAUGCAAUGGAUAUAAUGUGCAUAUGUUUGCUCAUUUUUCGCAUCAGCUUCUGCUAGUCACAGAGAAAGUGUACUGAGCUAUGCACCAAAGCCUCAAUCCCCUACUCACGUCAAUCCUAUUGAGUUCCCAUUUGGCUUCACAGAUUUAACCAGCCUUUGGCCUUUGCACUUUAUAGCCUACUUUUGAAAUUGCCACUACAAAAUGUGGUGCUUUUUUCUGCUGCUUCUAGCCCAGACACAGCAAGAAGUUUCUGCUGAAAGGUUGCCCAAGAACAAGAGUUAGAAAGAGGGAAAACUACCUGGGGGGAAACGUAGAAGGAUGUAGAAGAAAUGUUAUGCAGUGGUCUCCCGCCCAAGGCGAAUGCCUAUAAACGAAGGCGUAGGCAGGAUUUUCGUUUGGUGCUUCGCAGGGCAGUAUGAAGCUAGCCGCAAAGGCAAAUAGCUGCUGAGUCCCCCAACAUAAUCUUGUCUUAGCAGUAACUCUGAGUGAGUAUCAUGAGGAAUGACACUAAAGACUGAGGUAGGUAUUGGGGAGACUUCUAAUUAGUAACCACAGUUGUGCCUAAUCUACCUUGAUAAUAAGAUAUGGCCAAAUUAAGGCAGAUUUACCAAGAAGCUCUGUGGCAUUUGCAACAGAAGUCUUACUAAAAUGUCAACUUUUCCCUUUUCUUGCGAGGAAUCCUAUUCGGAAUAAGGGAAUUUCCCUUUAAAAAGCUAUGCUGUGAAAGAAGGUGGUUUGUUGUUACCUAGAAGUCUAUGGAAUAUGGGCUAUGCUUAGAUGGUGUUGUUUCAUUUUUAUCCUGUCUUUCUGCCAAAGAGUCCACCUCUUAUUACCUGAAAGAACAGGACUUGAAAACACUCACCUCUGGAGGCAUGAUCCGUCCCAAUGUAGGCACUGGGCAGCGCUCUGAAUGCAUUGUUUCUUCCUGUGCAUGUAAAAUGGAGAAUAGAAGAGUUGUGCCUUUUGGGGGGGUGGCACCCAAAAUCCACAGAUGGGCUAUACCUUUACAGUAUUAGUACGAACAAAAUUGUUGCAAAAUAAUGUACAAGCUUUCAAGUGGUGCAGAAUGUUUAAUCAGGCUAGAUGUUAUUCAAAGCAGGGGUUAGGGGCAGAGACAAAAUUACCCAAAAUUAGACUGGAUUGUGAUGUGCUGAGGUCUGCAUUUUAGACUGUGUCUAAAGUUGGAGACUGCAGACUGGAUUCAUCUCUGCUAGGUGGUUGUUGAAUAUACUUCAAAUUCUGGGAGGAAGAGGCAACGACUGUGUCCCCAUUUUUGUAAACAUAAGGGCCAAGUACACAAGUUCCUGGUUAUGCAGAAAGCAGGUGUAAAGAGAAAUAUAGCACUCUUUAUAAUAGGAAAGUCAGAGAUUAAUUUUUGACGGUGCACAAAAUAAAACUGCUCCAUUGAAACCAAAUUGCAUAGCAUUACCUAAUAUUUGGAGGGUGUCAUGAUCUGACAGGAUGACGGGGAGGAGGAACAGGAUCCUGGAGAGGGGUGCAGCCAGGACUGGGACACACCAGGACAAGCAGGGGUUGGGGGAGGAAGUACUCUGAGGCACAGAGAGCAGCAGGAGGGGUGCUCUAGGAGGCUGAGGUAGGCAGGGGCCCACAGGCCAGCUCACUAACUGGCCAGGUGGGCCUCAUCAGCUGGAGGAGGCUUGGAACAGGUGAGGGUCACCUGCCUUAUCAAGCCCAGAUGCUGUAAUCAGCAUGCAAAGUACAAAAGGGAAGCAGAGCUGAGGGGCUUUGCCUGCUCAACUGCCCAUGUUGAUGGACCUUGGCUUGGAUGCUCCUGGAUCUUUAGGGGACUGUACUUUGGCUUUGAUUCUGGACUGUUUCCUGACUGCUGGAUUUCAGACUUGGCUUACUUGGACUGACCCUGGACUGCGUUUCCUGAAAUUCGGACUUGACAUUCUGGCUCGCUGCCAGGUAGGCCAGGGAUUCAGGACAGAGAAUAACUCUCCAAAUGCAAAGUGAGGUGGUAGAAAAUCAUCUUCCCUGCAGGCAUGUGCACAUGUGGAUUGUUUUUCUACCCUGCCAGUUCUCUAACCCCUAAUACAGUUGUUCUUCUGACUGUCCCUUAUUAUUACCCAUCAACCCAAGUGCAAGGUCAUGACAGAUUGGUACCUGCCAUGAAUCAGUAACCUACAAGCAGGGGGAAAGAGAGGCCCCAAGAAGAUGCAGGCAAAACAUGGAUUGCCUAGAGAUGGAGGGAGCUUCAUUGUAGGUGUAAUCUUCUUGCACCAUCCAUUACCACAAAAAGAUGAGAGGGGAGGAUGAGGAAGUACUUGUGGUCUCCUUAUAGCAGGUUAGAAAAUGUCAAAGGCACCCUUGGUGUCUUCUUCCCCUACCCUCAGAGCUACGCUGGGGCAGCCUAGUACGGGAAUGAUCUUGGAACCUAGCAAAGAUAUCAUGGCCAAGAAGGGCUAGCACAAGACUUAAACUAAUCCCUUACUUUGUCAUGCUUUCUUGCCUUCAAAUUCUGAGGUGCAGUGGCAGAGAGGGCAGGGAGGUCAAUAAAUUAAACUAGACCUACAUAUGACUGUUUAUUCCUGUUAUUGUAACCUGGCUGUGACCGAAAAGAUGGCCAUUGAUGGUCUAUUAUAAGGAAUAUGAUGUGAUAACUGGGAUUUGCUGGCACAAAGACAAGGGCGAGUUGCUGACUUUGCUGAUUGCUCACUAUUUCCUUGUCCUCUAGUUCCCUCUGCUGGCUACUAAAGCUGCAAGCAAUUUCUCCUUGGCUGCAUCUUCAGAGUGAGUUUGUUUCUGUUUUUCGUCCUCUGUCAGGAAUUGUUUGGGGGUUUUUAAAAGCAUUUCAGUAUUCAGCUCCGAGAGGAGAGGCAAAAAUCUCAGUCAGUUCAUUCUGGAUACAAGCAUCUUUGGGUAGAUCUUUUCCUCACAACCAGUAGCAUCAGCUGGCUGGAGCUAAUGGGAGUUGUAGUUGUGGAUGGAGGAGAAAUUUGGUUCAGCUCACAUUUAAAGGUGAGCCUACCUAAUUCAUGCUGUCUGAAACAUGAACUCAUGCGUACUUCACAAUUCACACUUCUCUGAAUUUUUCAAUGCAGCCAAAUAACAUGUACAAAAGUACAUUUACUAAGGUUAAAAGUUUGUUAGUAAAAAAUAACAUAGAAAUGCCUUAUACCAGGGAAAACUGCAGUGUAAAAAUGCGUAAGGCAAAGCCACAUACAAAAAUGUGGAUGUUCGGAGAAAUUCGUACCAAGGUCUGAUGAAUUUUCAUGAGGUCUUUAAAACCAGCAGUUGUGGAAAUAUGGAGAAUGGAGACAUGAGCAAAAGAGAGAAUCUGAAAGUGGCACAUUUGCCUAUCCAUCCCUACUUGUAGUCCAAAAUGUGGGGUUCACCAGGAUGGGAAAGGCUAGUGCAGAAUAUUGUAGCAGAGCCACUAAAAGAUGGUGGAUCUGAAAAUUCAUAUUUAAAUCUUGCCUCGGGCAUGAGCCCCCCCCCAAAACACACACAAACACCCCUUAUGGGAACGACCAUAACGACCCAUCUUACAGGGCCAUUGUUAUAAAGAUUACUGAGAUUAUGGAAGUGAAGUGCUUUGAGCACUCUAAAGCCGCUGUAUAAAUGCAAAGUGUUUUUGUGAUGGGGCAGUUUCAGGAAUCACUGAGACCAUGCCAUGAACCUGGUGCCAUAGGAUGCUGCAUCUACUUUCCUGCCUGCCUGCCCUUUGUGGCUUAGGGCCCUCGUAUUUACGGGACCGCCUCUCCUGGUAUGUCCCGCAGAGGACCUUAAGGUCCAUGAAUAAUCAUAGUUUGGAGGUCCCGGGCCCUAAGGAAGUCAGAUUAUCCUCCACCAGGGCCAGGGCCUUCUCAGUGAAGGCUCCGACCUGGUGGACUGCUCUGUCCCAUGAGACCAGGGCCCUGCAGGAUUUAACUUCCUUCCACAGGGCCUGUAAGACAGAGCUAUUCCACCUGGCUUUCAAUUUGAACUUAGCCUGAUCUUUUAUUGCCCUUCCUUCCUUCCCUCCUCUUCCCCUUUUUAUGAAUAUUACCCGCUCUGGGAUCCCACAGCUAAUUCUCCCCUGGUCUCCUCGCUGGCCCAAAUAGGAAUAAUUUAGCCAGCUAGCCCUGGUGAGCAUCUAAUGUUUAUUGGAUGGAUUUUCCCCCAAAUUGAUUUUUGAAUUCUGAAUUUAUUGUUAUUCAUGUUUUAUACUGUAUUUUAUGCUGUUUUUUGUUGCAUCAAUUAAGUGUUUUAAAUUUGUUGUUAGCCGCCCUGAACCGGGAAUGGCAGGGUAUAAAUAAAUUAUUAUUAUUAUUAUUAUUACAGCAGUUGUUGCAAAACUUCUAAGUGGUGGGGUAUCUCCUGGGGUAUUCACUAAAGGAUUAUAUUCAUGCAGUGUGGCUAGUUCAGGUCCAUGACCAAACUGAAAGAGAGGAAAUGUUAUGAUUCUAGACCUGCAGAACUUGAAAGCCUCCCCCCAUAUGAAUGAGAGCCCCCGCCUGGAGCCUCAGCGACCUUCUGCUUUUGUUGCCUGGCUGAGACUGCAAAGUCAAGCCCCUGGCAGGCCAUAGGAUAUAGCUGGUGGGCUGAAAAUUCUGGGGAAGUCACAGGUGAUUUAGGCCUAUGUUAGAUGUGACAGGUUAUUUCGCAACAACUGUUGGAUCUAAAAAUAUUGAGGGGGCACAACAGGUCUUCUGAGAUUCCACACCUCACACCCUCUUGAGGCUUCCACCUUCUUUGGCCAGGGAUAGGACAAUAUAAAAGGGCUCCAUUCUCAGUAUAGGUAUUGAAGAGCAUCGCUAAGUUUUUGCUAAAGAAAUGGUGUGCCUGCCAACAAUUGGGUGCAUCUACAAGCAUCUCUGUGAUCAGGAACAUGGAUUGCACAGGGUUCCUGAUCACAGGGAGUCCUGUACACAAGUUUAAGCAAGCCCAUUUCCUUCAGAGCCUACUGCGGCAAGCAGCAGGUUGGGAGUAGAGCAGGCAGGGCUGGUACAUACAGUCCUGUAUCAUCAACACAGUUUGAACUUUACUAUUAUUGCAGAGGGCUUGAUGGUUCAGCCUGGACCUUUGAAUGAUCUCAGCCAGCAGUUUCACUAUAACAUUAAAAAGCAUGGGAGACAAGACAGAUUCUUAUGGCACUGCGUAGGGUUCAACUGCAGUCUCUCGGUGCUGUCACCUAGGGAUGGGUGAAUCUGUCAGUUUCAGGUCCUCAUUUUUCCAGUACUAAAGCGAGUUAUUCAUAUUUCCAUAUUAGUCUGAGAUUUUCCUUUUUAAAGCCAGCUUGAAAUUUCAUUUUAUUGCAAAUUUCUCCAAUUAGAUACAUUUUUGCAAAACAAUUUCCCCUGAUGUACAAGGCACAAUGAUUCCAACAUUUUCCAGAUCAAACAUUUCUAAAUGGAUUUGGUGUUAUUUUUACAGACAGCCAUAAAUAUGGUGGAACAAUGGAGUUAGAGGACUCUGUUUUUUAAAAAACAACAACCUUGGCAUUCUUUUUUUUUUUUUUUGAGUGUGUUGCUAGUUGUGCGUUCUUCCAGAUGUAUACACAGAGCGAGAGACUCAACAGAUGCAUAAAGCUGUUCAGUGUUAUUAUUGAGCCAUGGUCUAAACAGGUAAAUUAUACCCCAGUAACAGAUUUGCUAUGAGACAGGGGAACCAUAAGAAAUAUUGCUACAACCAUCAUCAGUGCCCAUAUCAUAGCCCCAUUUCCGGCAAUGACAAAGUGCUGAGUUAUUGUCUUGGCUUGAAAGGCAACGAGUUUGUAAACUCUCUUGUUUGUGCCACUUUCCCAGCAAAAUGAAAAAUCAUUCAUCAUCACUAGGUAGGUACACUGUCAGAGCAAGGAGCAGAAAGCAAAAGGGCUACAAAGACCAAACAAAGCUAUUGGAUGCUGGCCAGAUUUGAGAGAGAGGCUAAGUGGCCAAACAGGUUGCAGGGCUGAGGUGUUAAAGGCUUCUCCAGAUGAGCUAUUUAUUGAGCAUUCAUCCUGAUUUGCUCACAGAAAGCUGACAUGGAGGUUAGAUUGUAACUGUCCAAUAAGGUUAUAGGACAAUAAGCGUUCCGUCUUACAUUCACCUUUGAUUUGCUUGUGGAGUGUUUAUGCAUCCCCCACUUUUCUGUGAAUCUCCCUGACACUUUCCCGACCACAAAAGUCCAUUUCUUUCUUUCUUUUUGGCUCUUUGGUGACAAAGCACUUUCAUCCAAACAGGCACUGAUUGGAAAUGAAGCAGCAUGACCAGCCCCAAAACAUUUGCCAGCACCAAAAGCAUUGAAAGCAGGA
rnacentral:lncRNA from 1 species